UCUGUUCAUUCCCUGUCUGUCUAGUGUUGUUGUAUGUUGUGUGUUCUGCAAGUUGCUGCAUUACCCAUUCUGGGUUUUGGAUAUACCAGUUUCCUGUACCUGUUGUCCGCCUAAAGAGUCCUGCUCUGCCCGUGUCCAACCCUCUGUUUGUCCGCCUGAGAGCACUAGCCCCUUUCCUCAGCUUUCUGGACACUUCUCCUUGUUUCCUGUGUCUGCACUUGACAUAUGAGCUGAAUAUGACACCACAGUGCAGUGCCUGGGGACCAACUCCACAUUUAAGCCAGUGCCUUGGUCAAGGACUGACGUGGGAAUAAACCUAACAAACAGGUUUUCGUGAAACCACAUACUUUAUACAUAAGAGUGAACCAUACUCAAGCAUAUGUUCUAAUUUGGGUUUUAAGGAGGAGGAGUCUUUGUAUGGUGUACAGGGAUGAAGACAUUAUUUGGCAUGUCAGUGUCCUCUACACAUGAAAAUGAACUUGGCAAUUGUAGUGUGUAUUUUUUUUAGGGUAGCUAUUACCAACCUUGUUUUCUAGAUAUUACGCUUAUAUAAUACUAAGUUUUCCAAAUUACCUUGUGAUAUCAAGAUGGCAAUGCAGACUGUUGCCUCUGGAUUAUGUUCCGUAAUGCAUCCCUGGCAAAUAUAGCUGAUUCUGAUUUUGAUUGGAAAUAUUAUUGCUGCCUGAAUUGUGUUGAUGGGUGUUUUUUUGAGUAGUGAAAUAUUACUUCCUAUGAAAUGUAUUUUUUGUAGUAUAUAAAUGUUUAAAGAAAUGCAUUUGUAGGAGACAAGGUUGGUACCGCACUGGCAUUUUUACAAAAUUGUAAAACCAUUCUACACCUCCACAAACACAAAAAAACAUGCAUAAAAAACAAAUAAACUAUUAUUUAUGAGAAAAGUGGUUGUAAUUUUGAGAAACUACCUCACUGCUUUGAGCUACCAGUCGACAGUAUUCUCAUUUAUUCACAGUAAUUAUA